AUGAACGCUGGCGGCGUGCCUAAUACAUGCAAGUCGAGCGAACAGACGAGGAGCUUGCUCCUCUGACGUUAGCGGCGGACGGGUGAGUAACACGUGGAUAACCUACCUAUAAGACUGGGAUAACUUCGGGAAACCGGAGCUAAUACCGGAUAAUAUAUUGAACCGCAUGGUUCAAUAGUGAAAGACGGUUUUGCUGUCACUUAUAGAUGGAUCCGCGCCGCAUUAGCUAGUUGGUAAGGUAACGGCUUACCAAGGCAACGAUGCGUAGCCGACCUGAGAGGGUGAUCGGCCACACUGGAACUGAGACACGGUCCAGACUCCUACGGGAGGCAGCAGUAGGGAAUCUUCCGCAAUGGGCGAAAGCCUGACGGAGCAACGCCGCGUGAGUGAUGAAGGUCUUCGGAUCGUAAAACUCUGUUAUUAGGGAAGAACAAAUGUGUAAGUAACUAUGCUCGUCUUGACGGUACCUAAUCAGAAAGCCACGGCUAACUACGUG
rnacentral:rRNA from 1 species